rnacentral:hammerhead_ribozyme from 1 species
AUCCAGCCUGAGAGUCCUAGAUAGGACGAAACGCGCGUCCUGGAU